AUACGGAGGGUGCAAGCGUUAUUCGGAAUCACUGGGCGUAAAGCGCGCGCAGGCGGUCUUUUAAGUUGGAUGUGAAAGCCUACGGCUCAACCGUAGAACUGCAUCCAAAACUAUUAGACUAGAGUGUGGGAGAGGAAGAUGGAAUUAGUUGUGUAGGGGUAAAAUCCGUAGAGAUAACUAGGAAUACCAAAAGCGAAGGCAAUCUUCUGGAACAGUACUGACGCUGAGGCGCGAAAGCGUGGGGAGCAAACAGGAUUAGAUACCCUAGUAGUCC
rnacentral:rRNA from 1 species